rnacentral:rRNA from 1 species
UACGGAGGGUGCAAGCGUUAAUCGGAAUUACUGGGCGUAAAGCGUGCGUAGGCGGUUCGUUAAGUCUGUUGUGAAAGCCCCGGGCUCAACCUGGGAAUGGCAAUGGAUACUGGCGAGCUAGAGUGUGUCAGAGGAUGGUGGAAUUCCCGGUGUAGCGGUGAAAUGCGUAGAGACUCGGGGAGGAACAUCAGGUGGACGAAACGGCGGGCC